AGUGAACGCUGGCGGUAGGCCUAACACAUGCAAGUCGAACGGCAGCACAGUAAGAGCUUGCUCUUACGGGUGGCGAGUGGCGGACGGGUGAGGAAUACAUCGGAAUCUACUUUUUCGUGGGGGAUAACGUAGGGAAACUUACGCUAAUACCGCAUACGACCUACGGGUGAAAGCAGGGGAUCUUCGGACCUUGCGCGAUUGAAUGAGCCGAUGUCGGAUUAGCUAGUUGGCGGGGUAAAGGCCCACCAAGGCGACGAUCCGUAGCUGGUCUGAGAGGAUGAUCAGCCACACUGGAACUGAGACACGGUCCAGACUCCUACGGGGGGCAGCAGUGGGGAAUAUUGGACAAUGGGCGCAAGCCUGAUCCAGCCAUACCGCGUGGGUGAAGAAGGCCUUCGGGUUGUAAAGCCCUUUUGUUGGGAAAGAAAAGCAGCAGGUUAAUACCCCGCUGUUCUGACGGUACCCAAAGAAUAGGCACCGGCUAACUUCGUG
rnacentral:rRNA from 1 species